GAGGGGGUCUCACAACGUGUUUGCUCGCUCGGCGACGGUUGGGUAUACGACAAAUAGCAGCGCGACUCAAUUAUUCGAGGAAGAAGGUGACACGACAGAAGCUUGAGGAAUGCCAGUCGAAGCGGGGAAGCGAGGAACUUCAAACGUGUGUGCGCAUAUGCACCAACGAUAUCCUCGUGAAUUCGAUUCGAGGCACGCGUGUUGGCUGACUGAUAUUGCAAAAUCGCUGCACGUUACUUAUUAGCAUAAACUCUUUGUUGCCUAUGACGCCGAUUUACCGGACGAAUCUUCUCGUCCCUCGUUACGCAUCGAUUACAUUAUGUUAUCGUUCGAUUUUCCCAGGAAGAUUUAACGACUAUUCGUGCUCGAUUAUUCGAUGUAAAAAUACACUAAAAAUUUCAAUUCAUGAUCAGAAACAUUCGAAGACAAUGGGAUUAACUAGCGGAACAUUGCAUCCUGGAGAGUAGCAAUGGUGAAGUAGCGCGUUCGCAAGUUGAUGCAGUUGUACGACCUAAAUUUCCUGUUCGUUAAAUAUUUCACGUUGCAGUGGUGACCGUCUAUAUACGAAAGGCGAUAGUCGACGAAAAGCAGAUCCGCUUUUCUUGGCGUUAACGUGCCGACGAUCCACCUUGUUUGCCGAUAGCGUUGCUCUACCGUGAUCAGGUGAACCGUGAACAGAAUCACUUACAGGAGAGGCAAAGAAGCCAAAAGCGAAACGGUGGAUGAAAAAGUGCGAGCGCCGGGAAAGGAAAAGCGAGCAUACGUGCGGAGUAACGUCAAAGGCGUGAGAAGGGGAGUGACGAGUGGCGAGCAGCAUGAUGGGAUGAAAAAGCCGAAAGGCAGGAACGAAACGGGGAAGGAUCCCGGCGGACAGUAGUGCGAGCUAUCGGGUAACAUUCGUCAUGGUGAGUGCGGAGACGUCGACCUCGCAGAUACGCCGAUCAGACUAGUCCGCAGUCCUUCUCUCGUAUAACGACAGAAACCAGCAACCAGCAACCGUCAACCGUCAAUCGUCAACUAACCAGCAACGCGUCAACACACUGAAACAUAUUCAAUCAUCGUGUGUUUCCUGCAAAGAUUCCCAAAGAGUAAGCGUGAGCCAUUUUCAUUGUAACUUGCACAACCUCUACAUAGGAGAAUGCGAGCCAGCAAAACCAUUCAGAGAAAAGAGAAAAAUUCCUUUAAUCACACGUACUCUGCAAGUACAAAUUUCUCCGAUAGCAUAUCGAUAUUACGUCGAUUCAUCGCUUUAACAGCUGAGCAAUCUUCUGGGCUAGUACCGAAAGAUGUCCACGUAUACAUUAAUAAAAAGUCGUCAGCAGGAAUACACCGCUCGAGCGACGCAUCUUGCACGCGAUAUCAAACUUUCCUAUAAAGCUUAACCGCGGUUGAAGACCUUCGGCAUAAUCCAGACGUGGAUUAAGGUGCAACCGUACAAGCACAUUCUUCACAAAGUACCAGCCUCGGCCUUUAUUAAAAGCCUUUAUUAAUGUCAGGUUGUUUGAAAACUCAGUUUUAUGGUCUGGCCGGAUAAAAUCCCUAACAAAAGUGCAUUACCUCUAUAACUGAGGCUUUAUAAGCUACAAAUUACUAUAUAUCUCAGAAGCACGUGCGCUUCCGACAUCCCACUAAUUCUCCUAUUGGAAUAUCAGAAACCUGAAGUUCUAUCACGGAUUAACAUUCUCCCGGCCAUUCCGGUAUGGAGCAAGAUUUUCCAGAAACAUAGUUCACCGACAAUUUCGACAACAGUCCAACUAGGUUUAUUGGAGUACGAAGUAAAGAUAUGGGAGAUUCUGGAGGGACAUGGAAUGGUUAUGGAAGGGAACAUCUGAAUUAUGCUACGUAACUAUGCUACAUUGUCUCGUACGUAGGACAGAAUGGAUCAUGUUAUCAACAAAAGGAAAGUGUUAUUAGUCGCUUAUUAUAUGGAAGCAUUGAAUGAAAAUGAUAGUCGAGUAGAGGACGUGAAAAUAACUGAUAAUCAACUUCGGCGGUCAACUCAAAAAUAGGCUAUUUAACCUACUCGAAUGCUCGUAUCGCAUUUUACGAACAAAAUGCUCGUAUAAUAUUUAAGUGCUGUGCUGAAAUACAAAAAUAUAUAACUUGUCGGUGUAGUUUUGAGAUAAUCCAAUAAAAAAUUUAAAUUUCAAUUUAGAGAUUAUAUUUAUAAGGCUUGAUUUAAUUGUAUAUUAUUCAAACACUUGAUGUUUAGAGUGAAAUUAUGACAAUGUUUAAUAACAAUCUAGAUUAUUCCCUAUAAUUGUAAAAGUAAUAUGCAUAUUAUACAAUGUAUAGGACGAUGAAAACAGGUUACGUUACAGGCUGAUAAACUACGCACUAUUGGAAAUCUAUAAUGCACCGUCCUGUACGCGCGAAAGCAUGUCGAGGCAUUGUUGUAGUAAAAAUAAUAUGAAUUACGAUCAGUACUUCUUGCAAACAAUUUGUACACGGUUACAAACGAAAUAAAGGUUCAAUAAAACGAUAUAUCAAGUAAGAACAUGUAAACAGAAGGUGAGGAAAGAAUCUAUCAUUAUCUCUUAUCAUUUGAUUAUACACCGUAUAAUGUGUUCUACCUGAUACGAAAAAUAACACUGAAGCAUCAUGUAAAUAAAAGUUUUUCAAAAUUUUAUUAAAAAACUAUUCUUAAUAUAAUACAAGACAAAAAUAGAUAAAUAAUAUUUGUAUUAUGACUCAAUAUAGUUCUUUCCAGGCCGAACUUCUUUGGAUAAUGAGUAAAAUGUUAUUGUUACCUGUUAUUAAAAAUAGAUACCAAUAUUUACGUUAGCUAUAAAAAAGCAUUAAAACUUUUUUGCUCUUUCUCUACUACACAAACGUCACGAUUUUUCCAACAACUCAAGUCUUUAGAAUACUUUCGUAAACAGAAGUGAUGUAAGUAUCAUUCAAUAAUGCGACCACGAGAAUCGUUGAAUACAUAAAUGCACGUGCAGUAUUUCCGUAUCGCGCGUGCUGAUCGUGGAUAAGCAGUAACGAUCAAAAGAAAGAUAUACCCGCACACCAAGCACGUAUAUUAUGUACCAUGUAGACGCUUCAAGAUUAUAAAAAAAUUGUUUCCAUCUACAUAAAACGCAUUCGUCCUAUUCACGGGACUCAAUUAGUUACAUUCUCUUAAAUGUCGUCAGAUAUAAAAACCUGUUUCUCUCGCAAUUAUCAGCAUCGUCUGCCUAGCCAGAAUUCUCCCAUUCAACGUGCACCAAGGCGUUUCAACUAUUACGAGACACACUGCCUCCGCUCGACUGUUUGAAUGAACCACUUCCAUGUACCGAUCCUCGGCACGAAAUCUGCUUCUCACGCGUAAUCGCGGCGAUUCGCAGCUCGACUCGCGCGGAGCAUUAGUCAAAUUAAUGGAAAAAAUCCAGCCAGUUCCCCAGCUAAGCUGAUACUCCAAGCGGCGUGUAAAAGCGACGCGAAAGAAAACCGUGUUUUCAGAUCGAAGGGAAAAGACAAGAGAAAUGGAAGGAAUAAGGAGAAGAAAAGGAUGGUUUAAAGAUGUUCCAAAAAAGAUUUUUCACUGUUCAGAGAUUUACGAUCUGCGUUGUUUUGUUGCUACGAUCCGGAUUUUAUAUGCUGAGUAAGGUAAAAAUAAGUUUUUCCUAAAACUCUAUCUACUUAGCAACUAUUUUUAAAAAACUUACAUCCUUGGCUCUAAGCGGUGUAAAAUGGAAAAAUCGAAUACUUAUCGUGUUCUUCUCUUGUAAUCUUCAAAUACGUUCAUUUGUUCGUCGCACGAAUCUCACGGUUCUAUUCCAUCAACGUCUCAUACAAGGACAGCGGAAAAGUGAGUAAAUUCAUCCGACAUAAAAAUCCUUGGACGGAAGAAAAAAGGAACAGAGAACAAGGAUAAAGACAAGAAUGUUAGCCAAGACGUUGGAAAUUCUAUGGAGCUGAUGUCAGUGCUACGAUUGCAGUAACAUGUUAGCUACGUAGUCAACAUAUACGAACGGGAAUCGAUGAAUACAAUUCAGGUCAUUGGCAAUACCAUGUUAAAGCGCCUGUCGGGCAGGUAACUGCGGACUUUCGAUCGAAGAGAAAGCCACAAAAUUCUCAGGUAUUUCUUCGAACUUACGCGUAUUGAUACUCCGUGAGAUUUUUAAUCUUACCAGCUCGUUGACCAGUUUGUUGGUGACUCACAACGCUCUUUUCAGUGACGUAAUAAUUACGGUACUAUUUUAUCAAUUGAAGGAUCUGUCAGAUUCUUGAUUUUUACCCGGAGCUUUGAACAAUGUUGCGAAUUACAUCGUCUAUAGAUGUGAAAAAGUUAAUUAAAAGGCAUCGUUAACGGGAGUGCUUUGAGUUAGCGAGUUCGCGCAGCUUUUAUCGUCGCUAUACCGUCGACGUUGACUAUACAGAGUAUCGUGUACUCUGGCCAAUCAUUUACGCCACUUUACAGCUUAAGCUUGAAUCAGCAGCCAGCAACGGCAGACAGCAAUGACACGAUGCCAUCUAAAUUAAUUCUUCUUGCGUAUAAUUAAUGUGGAACACUUAUACUCUCGAGUAUAACACGAGGUCGAGUGCCAAUAAAAUUGAAAGCGCAAAUAAGGCAAUGGAACGAUACGUCACGAAUCGUUUGCAUCUUUUUCUUAUAAACGGAUACUUUUCAUCGACGCAUGUUCGACCGCAGCUGCGUUUAUGCGAGCUGCUGAUUACAUAGGUGCAGAUUAACAAAACGUCAAAGGCCGAGCAUGCAAUAUGCAAUAAGCAGAUCUUUGUAACGAAACGUCUUAAAAGAGAGAUCGCGUCCAAAGCUCCAUUUAAGAAUCCACGAUACGAAGACCUCGUUGAAUUGGCUUGACCGAUAAACUAGCUUCUAUUCAUUGCGUGAUCUCAAAAAUUUGAUCUUAGUACGCGGUUAUACAAUUAAAUUGAAUAAUUAAGCUGAUUUCAACAUUUUAAGUUGAUAUUACACGUAUAUGGCAAAAUUACGUGCAGACUCGAAUCUGAGACACACAGAAAUAUGUUAAUGAUUGUAAAUUAAACAAUUAAAUUAUUACGUAUAGAUAAAACGAAUGAGAUAUCAAAGCGCCACCUUGCUUCCUCUAAGGUAACGAAAUUGGGCGGUUGCAAGGAAAAUUUAUGCCUAUUAUCCAAGAUCUUGAUGAACUAUUUACGUGUAAUGAUUAACGACGAGUAAUCGUGUGAUAUCUGCUUGUAAAGAGAAAUCGAAGGAGGGAGGAGGGUUUCUUCCAUGCCGAGAGGCAUUUGCCUUGAUAUCAAAAUUGGUUUCAAUACCUUCAAUGCCACCCGGACAAGGCUUGCCAAUGGAGCAAAGUGACGAGCAAUUUACUGCCACUUUUCACUUUCGAGAAAUAACACCGAGUAAACGGAUCACUUCACUCUGUUGAUUCAUGCUUAAUGACUUUCAAACUUAAUAUGCAAUUCUCUAUUGAACAUUACUGUUAAAUGCCAUAUAAUAUGUAGAACUGAUAAAAGUACUAUUAAAAAGAACCAAUUUCACUCUUAAA